GAGUUUGAUCGUGGCUCAGAUUGAACGCUGGCGGCAUGCCUUACACAUGCAAGUCGAACGCGAAAAGGGGGGGCAACCCCCGAGUAGAGUGGCGCACGGGUGAGUAAUGCAUCGGAACGUGUCCUGUAGCGGGGGAUAACCUAGCGAAAGCUAGGCUAAUACCGCAUACGUCCUACGGGAGAAAGUGGGGGAUCCGUAAGACCUCACACUAGUAGGAGCGGCCGAUGCCGGAUUAGCCUAGUUGGUGGGGUAAAGGCCUACCAAGGCAACGAUCCGUAGCUGGUCUGAGAGGAUGAUCAGCCACACUGGGACUGAGACACGGGCCCAGACUCCUACGGGAGGCAGCAGUGGGGAAUUUUGGACAAUGGGGGAAACCCUGAUCCAGCCAUGCCGCGUGAGUGAA
rnacentral:rRNA from 1 species